CGGCAGUGAGGAAGUACUAGACUAUCAUUGGUUGGAUCUUUCAAUUUAUUGCUGUUAUGGAUAACUAUAUUAUUUGUUCUGGCAUUUGGGCUUCUUGGACUAACUGUUUCUGUAGGAUAUUGUAAAGAACUUUCGAUUUCUCUUUUUUAAUUUGGUGGCUUUUGUG